rnacentral:misc_RNA from 1 species
GGGCAAUGCUUCAAGAUGGAAAGAAUUUCUGUCUGAAAGGACACGUAAUCGCCAAAAUGUUAAUCUUAUGCAGCUUGUAUAUGGGGCAUCCGAAUCCAAGUCAACUACAAAAGCUGAGUUACGACAGCAUGGCGCUGAAAAUGAUGAAAGUGAUACUGAGUUCUUCGUGCCCAAAGGGGAAGGAACAAAGAAACUCGAAGAGCAGAUGAAUGAUGAUAAUAUUGAUGCCGAGGACUGCUCC